rnacentral:rRNA from 1 species
CUUAACACAUGCAAGUCGAGGGGAAACCGAUAGAGAAAGCUUGCUUUUUCUAGGCGUCGACCGGCGCAACGGGUGAGUAACGCGUAUCCAACCUGCCCAUCACUUGGGGAUAACCUUGCGAAAGUAAGACUAAUACCCAAUGACGUCUCUAGAAGACAUCUGAAGGAGAUUAAAGAUUUAUCGGUGAUGGAUGGGGAUGCGUCUGAUUAGCUUGUUGCGGGGUAACGGCCCACCAAGGCGACGAUCAGUAGGGGUUCUGAGAGGAAGGCCCCCCACAUUGGAACUGAGACACGGUCCAAACUCCUACGGGAGGCAGCAGUGAGGAAUAUUGGUCAAUGGACGAGAGUCUGAACCAGCCAAGUAGCGUGCAGGAUGACGGCCCUAUGGGUUGUAAACUGCUUUUAUAAGGGAAUAAAGUGAGUCUCGUGAGACUUUUUGCAUGUACCUUAUGAAUAAGGACCGGCUAAUUCCGUG